rnacentral:rRNA from 1 species
GAAAGACCUGAAACCGUUACGGGGGAAGCGGAUUGCGUUGAAUUGUGGGGUGUUAGUGUGUUCAGCCUAUUUUAGGUGUAUUGACAUUGGCAUUUAUCCGCCGUGGGUUUUUGAUGACUGAUUUUGAGUCGUUGGAGGCUGAGGGCUCCAUUUUAUAUGUGAGGACGGCGGAGCGACGACGCGAUACGACCCGUCUUGAAACACGGACCAAGGAGUCUAGCGCGGGUGCGAGUCGGAGGGUGCAAGCCCGUGGGCGAAGUGAAAGCGAGUGUAAAAACGAGCAGUUUGGGGCGGCACGGAAUCGUUGAUUCCAGGACCGACCCGGAGCAGUUGCGCUGGGACCCGAAAGAUGGUGAACUAUGCCGGAGUAGGGCAAAGCCAGAGGAAACUCUGGUGGAGGCUCGUAGCGGUGCUGACGUGCAAAUCGCUCGUCGAACUUGGGUAUAGGGGCGAAAGACUAAUCGAACCAUCUAGUAGCUGGUUCCCUCCGAAGUUUCUCUCAGGAUAGCGGGCCGACAUUCUCAGUUGUUUUGUGCGGUAAAGCGAAUGAUUAGCGCACUCGGGGGCAUUUUGUCUUCGGGCGAUUCUCAAACUUUCAAUGCGCAAGGGCGCCGGUGCUUUGUUGAGCGGCGCCGGGAAAAACGUCGGCCCUGUGGGCCACUUUUGGUAAGCAGAACUGGCGAUACGGGAUGAACCGUAAGCGCGGUUAAGGCGCCUGACUGCCCGCUUAU